rnacentral:rRNA from 1 species
CCUAUAAGACUGGGAUAACUUCGGGAAACCGGAGCUAAUGCCGGAUAACAUUUGGAACCGCAUGGUUCUAAAGUAAAAGAUGGUUUUGCUAUCACUUAUAGAUGGACCCGCGCCGUAUUAGCUAGUUGGUAAGGUAACGGCUUACCAAGGCAACGAUACGUAGCCGACCUGAGAGGGUGAUCGGCCACACUGGAACUGAGACACGGUCCAGACUCCUACGGGAGGCAGCAAUAGGGAAUCUUCCGCAAUGGACGAAAGUCUGACGGAGCAACGCCGCGUGAGUGAUGAAGGUUUUCGGAUCGUAAAACUCUGUUAUUAGGGAAGAACAAAUGUGUAAGUAACUGUGCACAUCUUGACGGUACCUAAUCAGAAAGCCACGGCUAACUACGUGCCAGCAGCCGCGGUAAUACGUAGGUGGCAAGCGUUAUCCGGAAUUAUUGGGCGUAAAGCGCGCGUAGGCGGUUUCUUAAGUCUGAUGUGAAAGCCCACGGCUCAACCGUGGAGGGUCAUUGGAAACUGGGAAACUUGAGUACAGAAGAGGAAAGUGGAAUUCCAUGUGUAGCGGUGAAAUGCGCGGAGAUAUGGAGGAACACCAGUGGCGAAGGCGACUUUCUGGUCUGUAACUGACGCUGAUGUGCGAAAGCGUGGGGAUCAAACAGGAUUAGAUACCCUGGUAGUCCACGCCGUAAACGAUGAGUGCUAAGUGUUAGGGGGUUUCCGCCCCUUAGUGCUGCAGCUAACGCAUUAAGCACUCCGCCUGGGGAGUACGACCGCAAGGUUGAAACUCAGA